AUUGAACGCUGGCGGCAGGCUUAACAAAUGCAAGUCGAGCGAGCGGCGGACGGGUGAGUAAUGUCUGGGAAACUGCCUGAUGGAGGGGGCUAACUACUGGAAACGGUAGCUAAUACCGCAUACCAUCGGAUGUGCCCAGAUGGGAUUAGCUAGUAGGUGGGGUAACGGCUCAACUAGGCGACGAUCCCUAGCUGGUCUGAGAGGAGGACCAGGCAAAUGGGAAAUGAGAAACGGUCCAGAAUCCUACGGGAGGCAGCAGUGGGGAAGAGUGCACAAUGGGCGCAAGCAUGAUGAAGACAGGCCGAGUGUAUGAAGAAGGCCUUCGGGGUGUAAAGGACUUUCAGCGAGGAGGCGUUACUCGCAGAAGAAGCACCGGCUAACUCCGUGCCAGCAGCCGCGGUAAUUC
rnacentral:rRNA from 1 species